rnacentral:rRNA from 1 species
CUACGGGUCGCUGCAGUCGAGAAUCUUCCGCAAUGGACGAAAGUCUGACGGAGCGACGCCGCGUGCGGGAUGAAGGCCUUCGGGUUGUAAACCGCUGUCAGUGGGGAGGAAAUGCAUCAGGGUUCUCCCUGGUGUUUGACCGAUCCGCAGAGGAAGCGCAGGCUAAGUUCGUGCCAGCAGCCGCGGUAACACGAACUGCGCGAACGUUAUUCGGAAUCACUGGGCUUAAAGAGUUCGUAGGCGGCCUUUCAAGUCGGGUGUGAAAUCCCUCGGCUCAACCGAGGAAUUGCGCCUGAUGCUGUUGGGCUUGAGGGGGAUAGGGGUGAGCGGAACUGAUGGUGGAGCGGUGAAAUGCGUUGAUAUCAUCAGGAACACCGGUGGCGAAGGCGGCUCACUGGAUCUCUUCUGACGCUGAGGAACGAAAGCUAGGGGAGCGAACGGGAUUAGAUACCCUCGUAGUC